AGGGGGCCGUCCUCACUGCUAUGCUGGUUUCCCGGAACUUCUCUGUGGGCGCUCGUUCCACCACCGCUCCAAUCAGUGUCAGUGCAGCAGCGGCAGCAGCAGCAGCGGCGGCAGCGGGCACCACCGGUGGGCUGGUGGAACAAGCAGCCAAGAGUUUGCUCAACAAGAAGGCAGAUGUCAAGG